GUGGCUUGAAGCGUUCCGCUGAAGUUGGUGACUUUGAGGACCAAGGUGCCACCAUUCACCAAUCAGAAAUAAGAUUUCUCCUAGACCCUUCCUCCAUUGCGACGUGAAACCAAGAGGGGCGCUGUUGCGGGCGGCGGCGAGUUGGGACCUGCGGCCUUCGCUGCUUACUGACCUUGGGAGUGAAGGAACGACAAGACGAUGUCCGGU